rnacentral:rRNA from 1 species
GUUGUUUAGUUGAAAAUCAAUUAAAUAAUUUUUGAUUUUGAGUAGUAUUGACUUCAUCAGCUUGCUGCUUUCUUUUCGGAAAUUAUUUAAUGCACUUUUCAGUUAACAAGUCAACAUCAAUUUCUUUUGUUGUAAAAGGGUAAGAGGAAGGUGGCUUACAUUUCGGUGUAAGUGUUUAUAGCCUUUUACCUCUGCAAUCGGAGAGAUUGAGGUCAGCAGCGUAGACUCUUCGGGGUUAGAUACGCUUGUGCUAAGCUAUAGCCUUGUAUAGACAACUUGUUGACUAUGCUCAGUCAUGUAGCUUACUCGCUUGCAGUAUUUUACCUAC